rnacentral:rRNA from 1 species
GUUUGAUCAUGGCUCAGGAUGAAACGCUAGCUACAGGCUUAACACAUGCAAGUCGAGGGGCAGCAUGAACUUAGCUUGCUAAGUUUGAUGGCGACCGGCGCACGGGUGAGUAACACGUAUCCAACCUGCCGAUGACUCGGGGAUAGCCUUUCGAAAGAAAGAUUAAUACCCGAUGGCAUAGUUCUUCCGCAUGGUAGAACUAUUAAAGAAUUUCGGUCAUCGAUGGGGAUGCGUUCCAUUAGGUUGUUGGCGGGGUAACGGCCCACCAAGCCUUCGAUGGAUAGGGGUUCUGAGAGGAAGGUCCCCCACAUUGGAACUGAGACACGGUCCAAACUCCUACGGGAGGCAGCAGUGAGGAAUAUUGGUCAAUGGGCGCGAGCCUGAACCAGCCAAGUAGCGUGAAGGAUGAAGGUCCUACGGAUUGUAAACUUCUUUUAUAAGGGAAUAAAGUCACCCACGUGUGGGUGUUUGUAUGUACCUUAUGAAUAAGCAUCGGCUAACUCCGUGCCAGCAGCCGCGGUAAUACGGAGGAUGCGAGCGUUAUCCGGAUUUAUUGGGUUUAAAGGGAGCGUAGACGGGUCGUUAAAUAAAGCUGUGAAAGUUUGGGGCUCAACCUUAAAAUUGCAGUUGAUACUGGCG